CGGUUAGGGGUGGGGUUCGGCGGUCGGAGGGUUAGGCGGCGGUCAUGCGGGGAUCCCCUCGGGCUCCAGGGGGCCGUCGUGACCCCAAAUACCAGAGCCCGAGAAGGCGGUUCGGCGAAAAGAAGCUCCUGUGUAGGUGCUGAGUGUUGUCGUUUGUGCGAGCUCCUGUAAAGCUUUCUGCCGGGUCUGCGCUAUUGCUGGUUAAUGGGAAGCUUCACUCUGCUUUUGACUGCUGAGAAACAAAAUGUGCUUCCAGGAAAGAUGAGAAAAUUCUGAACCUGGCAGACCAUGUUUAUUUUGUUGCUGACCAGUUCACAAGAAACUCACAGAGCUUGCGACCAAGAAAGUGCAUGCUACAACAUUCAGAGAUGCACAUACUCAUCUUGGGUUUUCCACUGGAAAUUCAGAGUGAUGCCACUGACUUCACUGGUUUUACUGAAGAUUUGUGUGCUUCAUCAAGGAUCAGAAUCAGGCCCUAAGAUUUUUUGCCCUACAGACCUACGUUCUUCCACUUUUUAA
rnacentral:lncRNA from 1 species